rnacentral:rRNA from 1 species
GAUGAACGCUGGCGGCGUGCCUAAUACAUGCAAGUCGAGCGAACAGACGAGGAGCUUGCUCCUCUGACGUUAGCGGCGGACGGGUGAGUAACACGUGGAUAACCUACCUAUAAGACUGGGAUAACUUCGGGAAACCGGAGCUAAUACCGGAUAAUAUAUUGAACCGCAUGGUUCAAUAGUGAAAGACGGUUUUGCUGUCACUUAUAGAUGGAUCCGCGCCGCAUUAGCUAGUUGGCAAGGUAACGGCUUACCAAGGCAACGAUGCGUAGCCGACCUGAGAGGGUGAUCGGCCACACUGGAACUGAGACACGGUCCAGACUCCUACGGGAGGCAGCAGUAGGGAAUCUUCCGCAAUGGGCGAAAGCUUGACGGAGCAACGCCGCGUGAGUGAUGAAGGUCUUCGGAUCGUAAAACUCUGUUAUUAGGGAAGAACAAAUGUGUAAGUAACUAUGCACGUCUUGACGGUACCUAAUCAGAGAGCCACGGCUAACUAC